rnacentral:rRNA from 1 species
CGGGUGAGUAAUAUANAGUNAAUCUGCCCCAAAGAAGGGAAUAAUNGUNGGAAACGACUUGUAAUGCCCUAUAUGCCUUUAUGACAUAAGUUAGCAAGGGAAACAUUUAUGGCUUUGGGAUGAGACUGUACAGUAUCAGAUAGUUGGUGGGGUAAUGGCCUACCAAGUCAAUGACGCUUAACUGGUUUGAGAGGAUGAUCAGUCACACUGGAACUGAGACACGGUUCAGACUCCUACGGGAGGCAGCAGUGGGGAAUAUUGCACAAUGGACGAAAGUCUGAUGCAGCAACGCCGCGUGGAGGAUGACACAUUUCGGUGCGUAAACUCCUUUUAUCAAGGAAGAAAUUUGACGGUACUUGAUGAAUAAGCACCGGCUAACUCCGUGCCAGCAGCCGCGGUAAUACGGAGGGUGCAAGCGCUACUCGGAAUCACUGGGCGUAAAGGACGCGUAGGCGGUUUUGAAAGUCAGAUGUGAAAGCCUAUGGCUCAACCAUAGAACUGCAUUUGAAACUUCAAGACUAGAAUGAGGGAGAGGUAAAUGGAAUUAGUGGUGUAGGGGUAAAAUCCGUAGAGAUCACUAGGAAUACUCAUUGCGAAGGCGAUUUACUGGAACUUUAUUGACGCUGAGGCGUGAAAGCGUGGGGAGCAAACAGGAUUAGAUACCCUGGUAGU